rnacentral:rRNA from 1 species
UGCANGUCGAACGAGAAAGGGGAGCAAUCCCUGAGUAAAGUGGCGCACGGGUGAGUAACACGUGACUAACCUACCCCGGAGUGGGGGAUAACUGAGGGAAACCUUAGCUAAUACCGCAUAAUACCUACGGGUCAAAGGAGCAAUUCGCUCUGGGAGGGGGUCGCGGCCGAUUAGUUAGUUGGCGGGGUAAUGGCCCACCAAGACAGUGAUCGGUAUCCGGCCUGAGAGGGCGCACGGACACACUGGAACUGAAACACGGUCCAGACUCCUACGGGAGGCAGCAGUGGGGAAUUUUGCGCAAUGGGGGAAACCCUGACGCAGCAACGCCGCGUGGAGGAUGAAGUACUUCGGUACGUAAACUCCUUUCGAUCGGGACGAUUAUGACGGUACCGGAAGAAGAAGCCCCGGCUAACUUCGUGCCAGCAGCCGCGGUAAUACGAGGGGGGCAAGCGUUGUUCGGAAUUAUUGGGCGUAAAGGGUGCGUAGGCGGUUUUGUAAGUCUGAUGUGAAAUCUAUGGGCUCAACUCAUAGACUGCAUCGGAAACUGCAGGGCUUGAGUGUGGGAGAGGUGAGUGGAAUUUCCGGUGUAGCGGUGAAAUGCGUAGAUAUCGGAAGGAACACCUGUGGCGAAAGCGGCUCACUGGACCACAACUGACGCUGAUGCACGAA